GGCGACAUGGACAAGUGGUAAGGCAGAGGAAUGAAAAUCCUUUUUUCCCUAGUUCAAAUACGGAUGUCGCCU